rnacentral:rRNA from 1 species
GACGAACGCUGGCGGCGUGCCUAAUACAUGCAAGUAGAACGCACAGUUUAUACCGUAGCUUGCUACACCAUAGACUGUGAGUUGCGAACGGGUGAGUAACGCGUAGGUAACCUGCCUGGUAGCGGGGGAUAACUAUUGGAAACGAUAGCUAAUACCGCAUAAUAUUAAUUAUUGCAUGAUAAUUAAUUGAAAGGUGCAAUUGCACCACUACCAGAUGGACCUGCGUUGUAUUAGCUAGUAGGUGAGGUAACGGCUCACCUAGGCGACGAUACAUAGCCGACCUGAGAGGGUGAGCGGCCACUCUGGGACUGCGACACGGCCCAGACUCCUACGGGAGGCAGCAGUAGGGAAUCUUCGGCAAUGGACGAAAGUCUGACCGAGCAACGCCGCGUGAGUGAAGAAGGUUUUCGGAUCGUAAAGCUCGGUUGUAAGAGAAGAACGGGUGUGAGAGUGGAAAGUUCACACUGUGACGGUAUCUUACCAGAAAGGGACGGCUAACUACGUG